CCUACGGGGUGCAGCAGUGGGGAAUAUUGGACAAUGGGCGAAAGCCUGAUCCAGCCAUGCCGCGUGUGUGAAGAAGGCCUUCGGGUUGUAAAGCACUUUCAGUGGGGAAGAAAGCCUUGGGGCUAAUACCCUCGAGGAAGGACAUCACCCACAGAAGAAGCACCGGCUAACUCCGUGCCAGCAGCCGCGGUAAUACGGAGGGUGCGAGCGUUAAUCGGAAUUACUGGGCGUAAAGCGCGCGUAGGCGGUCUGAUAAGCCGGUUGUGAAAGCCCCGGGCUCAACCUGGGAACGGCAUCCGGAACUGUCAGGCUAGAGUGCAGUAGAGGAAGGUAGAAUUCCCGGUGUAGCGGUGAAAUGCGUAGAGAUCGGGAGGAAUCCCAGUGGCGAAGGCGGCCUUCUGAACUGACACUGACGCUGAGGUGCGAAAGCGUGGGUAGCAAACAGGAUUAGAUACCCGAGUAGUC
rnacentral:rRNA from 1 species